UUAAAAACCUGUGUAAUACUGUGAUAUUGUAAUUAGUCUCUGGAGAUGUUGUAGUUAUGACAAAACGUUUAUGCUGGACUUUAAUUUUUAUAAGAGCUGUGCUUUUUUAACAUGACCAGGCAAUAUAUAAAGAACAUCUGAUUUACGGGAAGCUAUACUGCCAACAAACUGCAAAUAUCAAACUACAGUACUGCAUGAUUUACUUUUUUAUUAAUUAAAAGGGUUUUACUUUCUAGAGUAAAAUAAUAGUGACAAAACUGUAAUGUACAUACUGUAAUAAGUAGUGGAAUAUGUAUUGGGAUUUUCAUUGAAAGGGUUUCUACAUUUUAGAGUAAAAUAAUAUAUAUAACUCUCUAAUGCCUUUAUAAAC